rnacentral:rRNA from 1 species
UACGUAGGAUGCGAGCGUUGUCCGGAGUUACUGGGCGUAAAGGGUGGGCAGGCGGUCGACAGCGUCUUUGGUGAAAGCCCCCAGCUUAACUGGGGAGGGUCUAGAGAUACGAGUCGACUUGAGGACAAGAGAGGGAAGUGGAACUCCCGGUGGACCAGUGAAAUGGGUAGAGAUCGGGAAGAACACCAGAGGGGAAGCCGACUUCCUGGCUUGGGCCUGACGCUGAGCCACGACAGCUUGGGGAG